rnacentral:rRNA from 1 species
UACAGAGGUCCCGAGCGUUGUUCGGAUUCAUUGGGCGUAAAGGGUGCGUAGGCGGCGGGGUAAGUUUGAUGUGAAAUUCCGGGGCUCAACCCUGGCAUGGCAUCGAAUACUACCUUGCUAGAGUACCGGAGAGGAAACUGGAAUUUACGGUGUAGCAGUGAAAUGCGUAGAGAUCGUAAGGAAGACCAGUGGCGAAGGCGAGUUUCUGGACGGUAACUGACGCUGAGGCACGAAGGCCAGGGGAGCAAACGGG